GACGAACGCUGGCGGCGUGCCUAAUACAUGCAAGUCGAACGCAGUGGGGACGGGUGAGUAAAACGUGGGUAACCUCCCAUCAGAGGGGAGAACACUUGGAAACUGGUGCUAAACCGAUACUGAUGGAUGGAACCGCGGUGCAUUAGCUAGUUGUUGAGGUAACGGCUUACCAAGGCCACGAUGCAUAGACGACCUGGGAGGGUGCUCGUCCACACUGGGACUGAGACACGUCCCAGACUCCUACGGGAGGCAGCAGUAGGGAAGCUUCGGCAAUGGACGAAAGUCUGACCGAGCAACGCCGCGUGAGUGAAGAAGGUUUUCGGAUCGUAAAACUCUGUUGUUAGAGAGGCGGUAUCUAACCAGAAAGCCACGGCUAACUACGUGCCAGCAGCCGCGGUAAUAC
rnacentral:rRNA from 1 species